AACGAACGCUGGCGGCAGGCUUAACACAUGCAAGUCGAGCGAGACCUUCGGGUCUAGCGGCGGACGGGUGAGUAACGCGUGGGAACGUGCCCUUCUCUACGGAAUAGCCCCGGGAAACUGGGAGUAAUACCGUAUACGCCCUUUGGGGGAAAGAUUUAUCGGAGAUGGAUCGGCCCGCGUUGGAUUGGGUAGUUGGUGGGGUAAUGGCCCACCAAGCCGACGAUCCAUAGCUGGUGUGAGAGGAGGAUCAGCCACACUGGGACUGAGACACGGCCCAGACUCCUACGGGAGGCAGCAGUGGGGAAUCUUAGACAAUGGGGGCAACCCUGAUCUAGCCAUGCCGCGUGAGUGAUGAAGGCCUUAGGGUUGUAAAGCUCUUUCAGCUGGGAAGAUAAUGACGGUACCAGCAGAAGAAGCCCCGGCUAACUCCGUGCCAGCCGCCGCCGUAA
rnacentral:rRNA from 1 species